rnacentral:lncRNA from 1 species
AUUUUAGUUGAGUCGAAAGGUAACUUCUACUAUCAGUGCGAAAAAUUUUUAAAUAGUCAUAAUUUUUUGUUCGAGUAUUCAAUUUCAGCGUGCCAUUUUACUUUAGAAAAUAUAUUUCGAGAUUAACGAGUCGAAUAGCGAGGCCAUUCCGGCUAUGCAGACCUGAUAUUCGAUUAAUAUAAACAGAGUUUUAGAAUUAAUUAAUAGUACUUUCAUCUUUGACGAAGAAUUGAUUAUUCCUAUAUUUUGUUACUGUGCUUCUUUCUAGCUAAGUUUAUUUCUAAAUGAAAUAAACGAAACAGGUAGCAUGCUAUCUAUCUCUAAAAAAAAUUAUUUGAUGGCUCUUCUUAUAUAAUUUUUAGGCUUAUUAUAUAUUUUAAUAAAAUUAUAAUUGUAUAAAUUAUAUUUUAUAUGUUAAUCAGACACGUAAAAGUAAACGGUGCAAAUUUUGAAGUCUAAGAGUAACGAAAUAGGUCAAAGCAAAUAAAUUUUGAGAGCAGCUAGAUUGUAAAAUUAAAAUUUUUAAAGAUACGAUAGUUGGAUUAAAAUAGGUCAUAGUUCAGCUAUGUUUCAUACAUUUUUACGUAAUUGUUAGGAUAGUUUAUUUUUCAUUAUUUAGAAUGCGGAGUAAAAUGGUGAGGAUUAUGGAGUUUAGAGGU